UUCAACCAGGUAGCCAGCAGCAGUCUCCAAGAUGAAGAUAUUGUCCGUCUUCUUUCUUUUCGCAUUAGCAGGUUAUGCGGCUGCUUGCAAGGCUUCCGCCUGCACCAGCUACUGCAAGUCACUGGGCUCGAGCGGCGGAUAUUGCGACCAGGGCACGUGGUGCACGUGCAACUAGACAAAAAUAAUGGGCGGGACAUGAUGACAAUAUAAAUCUUUCGCCCAAGCA